rnacentral:rRNA from 1 species
UACGUAGGGUGCAAGCGUUAAUCGGAAUUACUGGGCGUAAAGCGUGCGUAGGUGGUUUGUUAAGUCUGAUGUGAAAGCCCUGGGCUCAACCUGGGAAUUGCAUUGGAUACUGGCAGGCUAGAGUGCGGUAGAGGAUGGCGGAAUUCCCGGUCGUAGCAGUGAAAUGCGUAGAGAUCGGGAGGAACAUCUGUGGCGAAGGCGGCCAUCUGGACCAGCACUGACACUGAGGCACGAAAGCGUGGGGGAGCAAACAGG